rnacentral:miRNA from 1 species
UCACUCUAUUGUAUCUACUGAU